UAGAGUGUAAAACAAAAAGUUGAGUAUCAUUUAGUUGAGAAUUAGUUCUCUCUCUUAAUGUCAUAAAUAAAGAAAUAAGUACUCCUAUAGAGUGUAGGUGGUGUUUACAAAAAAAAAAAAAGAGAUUUAUGUGGUUUAAUAACUCUAUCAAUAAAUGAUGUCGAUGAUAUCUUCAAAGAUAUAUGAUAUAAUUAUAUUUAGUCGAUAUCAUUUUGUUUAGUGUAUAACUCAAGAUAACAAUUAGUAUGUAUUCUAAGGUAACAAGCCUUGUUUUCUAAAUUAAAAAAUUGGGUAUUAAAUACAACAAUGUACUCACGAAGACACUAAAUAUACACUAUGGC
rnacentral:lncRNA from 1 species